rnacentral:rRNA from 1 species
AGAGUUUGAUCCUCGCUCAGAUUGAACGCUGGCGGCAUGCCUUACACAUGCAAGUCGAACGGCAGCACGGGGGCAACCCUGGUGGCGAGUGGCGAACGGGUGAGUAACAUAUCGGAACGUGCCCUGGAGUGGGGGAUAACUAGUCGAAAGACUAGCUAAUACCGCAUACGAUCUACGGAUGAAAGUGGGGGAUCGCAAGACCUCAUGCUCGUGGAGCGGCCGAUAUCUGAUUAGCUAGUUGGUGGGGUAAAGGCUCACCAAGGCUUCGAUCAGUAGCUGGUCUGAGAGGACGACCAGCCACACUGGAACUGAGACACGGUCCAGACUCCUACGGGAGGCAGCAGUGGGGAAUUUUGGACAAUGGGCGCAAGCCUGAUCCAGCCAUUCCGCGUGAGUGAAGAAGGCCUUCGGGUUGUAAAGCUCUUUCGCAAGGGAAGAACACUUAGUCUCUAACAUAGACUGAGGUUGACGGUACCUUGAUAAGAAGCACCGGCUAACUACGUGCCAGCAGCCGCGGUAAUACGUAGGGUGCGAGCGUUAAUCGGAAUUACUGGGCGUAAAGCGUGCGCAGGCUGUUUUGUAAGUCAGAUGUGAAAUCCCCGAGCUCAACUUGGGAACUGCGUUUGAAACUACAAGACUAGAAUAUGUCAGAGGGGGGUAGAAUUCCACGUGUAGCAGUGAAAUGCGUAGAGAUGUGGAGGAAUACCAAUGGCGAAGGCAGCCCCCUGGGAUAAUAUUGACGCUCAUGCACGAAAGCGUGGGGAGCAAACAGGAUUAGAUACCCUGGUAGUCCACGCCCUAAACGAUGUCUACUAGUUGUUGGUGGAGUAAAAUCAUGAGUAACGCA